rnacentral:misc_RNA from 1 species
GAUGAAGAACGUAGCGAAAUGCGAUAAGUAAUGUGAAUUGCAGAAUCCAGUGAAUCAUCGAAUCUUUGAACGCACAUUGCGCCCGCCAGCAUUCUGGCGGGCAUGCCUGUUCGAGCGUCAUUUCAACCCUCGACCUCCCUUUGGGGAAGUCGGCGUUGGGGACCGGCAGCACACCGCCGGCCCUGAAAUGGAGUGGCGGCCCGUCCGCGGCGACCUCUGCGUAGUAAUCCAACUCGCACCGGAACCCCGACGCGGCCACGCCGUAAAACACCCAACUUCUGAACGUUGACCUCGAAUCAGGUAGGACUACCCGCUGAACUUAAGCUUAUCAAUAAGCGGAGGA